rnacentral:rRNA from 1 species
CCUACGGGAGGCAGCAGUGAGGAAUAUUGGACAAUGGGCGCAAGCCUGAUCCAGCCAUGCCGCGUGCAGGAUGACGGUCCUAUGGAUUGUAAACUGCUUUUAUACAGGAAGAAACACCUCUACGUGUAGAGACUUGACGGUACUGUAAGAAUAAGGAUCGGCUAACUCCGUGCCAGCAGCCGCGGUAAUACGGAGGAUCCAAGCGUUAUCCGGAAUCAUUGGGUUUAAAGGGUCCGUAGGCGGUUUAGUAAGUCAGUGGUGAAAGCCCAUCGCUCAACGGUGGAACGGCCAUUGAUACUGCUAGACUUGAAUUAUUAGGAAGUAACUAGAAUAUGUAGUGUAGCGGUGAAAUGCUUAGAGAUUACAUGGAAUACCAAUUGCGAAGGCAGGUUACUACUAAUUGAUUGACGCUGAUGGACGAAAGCGUGGGUAGCGAACAGGAUUAGAUACCCUGGUAGUCCACGCCGUAAACGAUGGAUACUAGCUGUUGGGCGCAAGUUCAGUGGCUAAGCGAAAGUGAUAAGUAUCCCACCUGGGGAAGUACGAACGCAAGUUUGAAACUUCAAAGGAAUUGACGG